rnacentral:rRNA from 1 species
UACGUAGGGUGCAAGCGUUGUCCGGAAUUAUUGGGCGUAAAGAGCUCGUAGGCGGCUUGUCGCGUCGGCUGUGAAAACCUGGGGCUCAACUCCGGGCUUGCAGCCGAUACGGGCAAGCUAGAAUUCGGUAGGGGAGACUGGAAUUCCUGGUGUAGCGGUGAAAUGCGCAGAUAUCAGGAGGAACACCGGUGGCGAAGGCGGGUCUCUGGGCCGAUAUUGACGCUGAGGAGCGAAAGCGUGGGGAGCGAACAGG